UACAGAGGUCCCAAGCGUUGUUCGGAUUCAUUGGGCGUAAAGGGUGCGUAGGCGGUGGGGUAAGUUGGAUGUGAAAUCUUGGGGCUUAACCUCAAAAUUGCAUUCAAUACUGCUCCGCUUGAGUUCUGUAGAGGAGAUUGGAAUUUACGGUGUAGCAGUGAAAUGCGUAGAUAUCGUAAGGAACGCCAGUGGCGAAAGCGAAUCUCUGGGCAGCAACUGACGCUGAGGCACGAAGGCCAGGGGAGCAAACGGG
rnacentral:rRNA from 1 species